GAUGAAGAACGUAGCGAAAUGCGAUAAGUAAUGUGAAUUGCAGAAUUCAGUGAAUCAUCGAAUCUUUGAACGCACAUUGCGCCCGCCAGUAUUCUGGCGGGCAUGCCUGUUCGAGCGUCAUUUCAACCAUCAAGCCCCAGGCUUGUGUUGGGGACCUGCGGCUGCCGCAGGCCCUGAAAACCAGUGGCGGGCUCGCUGUCACACCGGGCGUAGUAGAUUUUAUCACGCUCAGGGCGUGCUGCGGGUUCCGGCCGUUAAAAAGCCUUUUUUACCCAAGGUUGACCUCGGAUCAGGUAGGAAGACCCGCUGAACUUAAGCAUAUCAAUAAGCGGAGGA
rnacentral:misc_RNA from 1 species